rnacentral:rRNA from 1 species
UCCGAAGGGGGCUAGCGUUACUCGGAAUUACUGGGCGUAAAGCGUGCGUAGGCGGUUUGUUAAGUCCGUUGUGAAAGCCCUGGGCUCAACCUGGGAAUUGCAGUGGAUACUGGCGAGCUAGAGUGCGGUAGAGGAUGGUGGAAUUCCCGGUGUAGCGGUGAAAUGCGUAGAGAUCGGGAGGAACACCCGUGGCGAAGGCGGCCAUCUGGACCAGCACUGACGCUGAGGCACGAAAGCGUGGGGAGCAAACAGG